UGGCAUUUUGACUGUCAGUUUCUCCCUUUAAGAAUUAAUUAGACAUGGUGUGCAAUGGUUGCAUACAGCAGCCUUCUUGGUAGUGUAUGCAGCCUGUUGCCUGUAUGGGUUGCCCUAAAGGACCUUGGAGACAAUU